rnacentral:lncRNA from 1 species
CAACCGAGACAUCUUAUCCGGGAGUGCCCGACGUGGACGUCGUCUGCGCCGACGGCGGCAUCAGCACCAUCUACCCCGAGACAGCUUGCGGGGUUACCACCAGCGAUGUCGGCUGGGCGCGCGUCAGCACCGCGUCAGCCGGAGGGAUCGAGAGCGCCUAGCGGCCGAGUUUUUGCCGCUCAGGUGGAGGAGCAACAACCUACAGCACCCGACGACGUCGUGGCAGGUAUAAUUGUGAUUAAAG